UACGGAGGGUGCAAACGUUGCUCGGGAUCAUUGGGCGUAAAGCGCACGUAGGCGGUCCAGCAAGUCGGGUGUGAAAGCCCUCGGCUUAACCGAGGAAGUGCAUUCGAAACUACUGGACUUGAAUACUGGAGAGGAUCGCGGAAUUCCCGGUGUAGAGGUGAAAUUCGUAGAUAUCGGGAGGAACACCAGUGGCGAAGGCGGCGAUCUGGACAGAUAUUGACGCUGAGGUGCGAAAGCGUGGGGAGCAAACAGG
rnacentral:rRNA from 1 species